GCGGAUCAGACCAUGCUCCUUCCACAUUGAAAGCCUGUGCUCACACUUUGAAUAUGUUGACUGAAAGACCUUCAUGAGCCGGACACGCUCCUUGGUGUUACACUUGCAGGAGUUGCCGAUGGAGGCCUGCAGUACUCUCGGAGUUGUUGGCAGCUUUAAAGGACUUGACCAAUUGGAUCUAACAGACAUCUACAGAAAAUUCCACCCAGCAAUUACAGAAUAUACAUUGUUCUCAACUGCAUGUGGAGCAUAUUCUAAGAUAAAAUAGUCAUAAAUCAAGCCUCAAUAAAUUCG
rnacentral:lncRNA from 1 species